GCCCGGGUGGUGGAAUUGGUGAUACACACGGGACUUAAAAUCCCGCGCCGAAAGGCAUGUCGGUUCGAAUCCGACCCCGGGCACCA
rnacentral:tRNA from 1 species